rnacentral:misc_RNA from 1 species
GAUGAAGAACGUAGCGAAAUGCGAUAAGUAGUGUGAAUUGCAGAAUUCAGUGAAUCAUCGAAUUUUUGAACGCACAUUGCGCCCUUUGGUAUUCCUUAGGGCAUGCCUGUUCGAGCGUCAUUUAAACCUUCAAGCUCAGCUUGGUGUUGGGUGACUGUCCGCUUCACCGCGGACUCGCCUCAAAAUUAUUGGCGGCCGGUACAUUGGCUCUCGAGCGCAGCAGAAACGCGUAACUCGAGGUCCUCGUGCUGGCUCCCAGAAGCUAUCUUCACAAUUUUGACCUCGGAUCAGGUAGGGAUACCCGCUGAACUUAAGCAUAUCAAUAAGCGGAGGA